rnacentral:rRNA from 1 species
AACGCUAGCUACAGGCUUAACACAUGCAAGUCGAGGGGCAGCAUGGUCUUAGCUUGCUAAGGCUGAUGGCGACCGGCGCACGGGUGAGUAACACGUAUCCAACCUGCCGUCUACUCUUGGCCAGCCUUCUGAAAGGAAGAUUAAUCCAGGAUGGGAUCAUGAGUUCACAUGUCCGCAUGAUUAAAGGUAUUUUCCGGUAGACGAUGGGGAUGCGUUCCAUUAGAUAGUAGGCGGGGUAACGGCCCACCUAGUCAACGAUGGAUAGGGGUUCUGAGAGGAAGGUCCCCCACAUUGGAACUGAGACACGGUCCAAACUCCUACGGGAGGCAGCAGUGAGGAAUAUUGAUCAAUGGGCGAUGGCCUGAACCAGCCAAGUAGCGUGAAGGAUGACUGCCCUAUGGGUUGUAAACUUCUUUUAUAAAGGAAUAAAGUCGGGUAUGCAUACCCGUUUGCAUGUACUUUAUGAAUAAGGAUCGGCUAACUCCGUGCCAGCAGCCGCGGUAAUACGGAGGAUCCGAGCGUUAUCCGGAUUUAUUGGGUUUAAAGGGAGCGUAGAUGGAUGUUUAAGUCAGUUGUGAAAGUUUGCGGCUCAACCGUAAAAUUGCAGUUGAUACUGGAUGUCUUGAGUGCAGUUGAGGCAGGCGGAAUUCGUGGUGUAGCGGUGAAAUGCUUAGAUAUCACGAAGAACUCCGAUUG